rnacentral:rRNA from 1 species
GAUGAACGCUAGCUACAGGCUUAACACAUGCAAGUCGAGGGGUAACGAGAGGAAAGCUUGCUUUCCUUGUCGACGACCGGCGCACGGGAGAGUAACGCGUAUCCAACCUGCCCCCAACUAAGGAAUAACCUUGCGAAAGUAAGACUAAUACCUUAUAAUUUCCUCAGAUGUCAUCUGACGAGGAAUAAAGAUUUAUCGGUUGUGGAUGGGGAUGCGUCUGAUUAGCUUGUUGGCGGGGUAACGGCCCACCAAGGCAACGAUCAGUAGGGGUUCGGAGAGGAAGGUCCCCCACAUGGGAACUGGGACACGGUCCAAACUCCUACGGGAGGCAGCAGUGAGAAAUAUUGGUCAAUGGGCGAAAGCCUGAACCAGCCAAGUAGCGUGCAGGAUGACGGCCCUAUGGGUUGUAAACUGCUUUUAUACAGGAAUAAAGUUAGCCACGUGUGGUUAUUUGUAGGUACUGUAUGAAUAAGGACCGGCUAAUUCCGUGCCAGCCGCCGCCGUAA